UCAGGACGAACGCUGGCGGCGUGCUUAACACAUGCAAGUCGAACGGGGAUUAGGUUGGAAAGGCUUCGGCCCGGAAGGCUUAAUUCGAGUGGCGGACGGGUGAGUAACGCGUGAGCAACCUGUCCCAGACAGGGGGAUAACACUUGGAAACAGGUGCUAAUACCGCAUAAGACCACGGGGUCACAUGGCUCUGGGGUAAAAGGAGCAAUCCGGUUUGGGGUGGCUCGCGUCCGAUUAGAUAGUUGGUGAGGUAACGGCCCACCAAGUCGACGAUCGGUAGCCGACCUGAGAGGGUGAUCGGCCACAUUGGAACUGAGAGACGGUCCAAACUCCUACGGGAGGCAGCAGUGGGGAAUAUUGGGCAAUGGGCCGAAAGCCUGACCCAGCAACGCCGCGUGAGUGAAGAAGGCCUUCGGGUUGUAAAGCUCUGUUAUAGGGGACGAAGGAAGUGACGGUACCCUAUAAGGAAGCCCCGGCUAACUACGUGCCAGCCGCGGC
rnacentral:rRNA from 1 species